rnacentral:misc_RNA from 1 species
GAUGAAGAACGUAGCGAAAUGCGAUACUUGGUGUGAAUUGCAGAAUCCCGUGAACCAUCGAGUCUUUGAACGCAAGUUGCGCCUCAAGCCAUUAGGUUGAGGGCACGUCUGCCUGGGCGUCACAUAUCGUUGCCUGAUGCCAGUUUCCUCGUGAUGGGUGACUGUGCAGGGCGAAUGAUGGCUUCCCGUGAGCAUUGUUGCCUCAUGGUUGGUUGAAAAUUGAGUCCUUGGUAGGGAGCGCCGUGAUAGAUGGUGGUUGAGUGACGAACGAGACCAAAUCAUGUGAGACCCCUACCGAAUUUGGCCUUCAUGACCCACAUGCGUCUUUGGAACGCUCAUGACGAGACCUCAGGUCAGGCGGGGCUACCCGCUGAGUUUAAGCAUAUCAAUAAGCGAGA